UGUAUAUAUAUGUGUGUGUGUAUGUGUGUGUAUACACACACACACACACACACACACAUAUACAUACA
rnacentral:miRNA from 1 species